rnacentral:rRNA from 1 species
GCUUGAGAGAACUCGGGUGAAGGAACUAGGCAAAAUGGUGCCGUAACUUCGGGAGAAGGCACGCUGGCAUUAGGUAAAGGGACUUGCUCCCGGCGCCGAAGCCAGUCGCAGAUACCAGCUGGCUGCAACUGUUUAAUAAAAACACAGCACUGUGCAAACACGAAAGUGGACGUAUACGGUGUGACGCCUGCCCGGUGCUGGAAGGUUAAUUGAUGGGGUCAGCCGCAAGGCGAAGCUCUUGAUCGAAGCCCCAGUAAACGGCGGCCGUAACUAUAACGGUCCUAAGGUAGCGAAAUUCCUUGUCGGGUAAGUUCCGACCUGCACGAAUGGCGUAAUGAUGGCCAGGCUGUCUCCACCCGAGACUCAGUGAAAUUGAACUCGCUGUGAAGAUGCAGUGUACCCGCGGCAAGACGGAAAGACCCCGUGAACCUUUACUAUAGCUUGACACUGAACAUUGAGCCUUGAUGUGUAGGAUAGGUGGGAGGCAU